rnacentral:rRNA from 1 species
GUUAGGAAUAUUCGUCAAUGGAGGAAACUCUGAACGAGCAAUGCCGCGUGAACGAUGACGGCCCUAUGGGUUGUAAAGUUCUGUUGUUUGGAAAGAACGAUAGAUAGAGGAAAUGCUAUCUAUGUGACGGUACCAUUCAAGAAAGCCACGGCUAACUACGUGCCAGCAGCCGCGGUAAUACGUAGGUGGCGAGCGUUAUCCGGAUUUAUUGGGCGUAAAGGGUGCGCAGACGGUUUAUUAAGUCUAAAAUCAAAUCUUGGGGCUCAACCCCAUUCCGUUUUAGAAACUGGUAGACUUGAGUAUGGUAGAGGCAAAUGGAAUUCCUAGUGUAGCGGUGGAAUGCGUAGAUAUUAGGAGGAACACCAGUGGCGAAGGCGAUUUGCUGGGCCAUUACUGACGUUCAGGCACGAAAGCGUGGGGAGCAAAUAGGAUUAGAAACCCUAGUAGUCC